CUCCCCACAUGUCUAGGGCAUGGCUUUGACAUUCAGUCAAACUAGUGAAGACACAUGAUUACCCAUUUUCUGCUACCCAAAAUAAUCUGUCUCUCUCCCUCUCUCUGUCUCUCUCUGUGAAGAAAAUUGCUCUUUGCUGCUAAGGAAAGUAUUAAAGGUGCCAUGGCACCGGCAGCUCCUUCUUGGGGUACGCUGUGGUGCUGCAAAAGAUCUCUAAAAUUCGGCAGCAUCUCCAUGAAGGCAGCCUGGAUGGCUGAUGUUAGCAAGCAGUGGGGAAUGAAAGGUCUGAUUGGAAUCUGAGGGUGCCAGCCCUUGAGAUACUGAUUUGUAAAGAGUCAAAGCCCAUUUUGGUGGUGGUGCUGCUUUGUUGGGUCAACGUUCUGCUCCAGAAUUCUGUAUUUUAGGGUAGCAGCAUAACGAAGCCUUGGGCAGCAUCUGCUGCACCUUUCCCAGUACAUGGGACUGUGAUUGGUGUUACCAGUCACAGCUAGAAGAUCUGCCUUCUGAUUCCCCAGUGGGAGACAAGCCAAACCAACUUGCAGAGCAAGCCAAAUAAUUGUUGAUUAGACACUUCUUUUAGCAUGGAGUGUUCUGCCCUUUUAGCUGUCCUGGUAAUAUAGGCCAAAUCAGUUACUAGAUUAAAAGGUUGUUGUAAUUUUUUAAAUGCUCUGACAUCAGCAGCCAACUCAGGAAUUUGGGGGGUUCCUUCAAUGACUUGAACAUCCUACUCCCACUUCUGAGUGUUUGGAUCCUUCCAAGUGAUAACCGAUUUGUGUGAUUUUCCAGAGCGAUCUGUAAAAACUGUGAGGGCUUUAAGAGGAACCUUACCUUUUAGAGAAUUUGGGACUAGAUGGAAUGUUUCUUUUAGUAGCUUGUGUUUUGGAUAAUGAAUAGAGACUUGUCCGGGAUAGCUGUCUAAAUCAAACUGAAGGUAUCCAUUUGUCUGUAAUAGCGAUUCUAAUUUGUGUAGUUGAAAUGCUGGAUAAAUGUAUGUUGGGUCACACGCUGCAGGGGUUCGGAGGUGGUUCCUGUCUUUAAUGAUUAACUGAGCUAAAAGCUCUUGAGGGAUUGUAAUAGUUUUUUUGGUGUGGCAAAAAUACCCAUUCUACAAUUAACAAUUUUUCUGUAGAAGACGGGUCCCACUGAAAAAGCAGUGCCUGGAAAUGUGGGGAUUUACCAAGACUAGCAAACUGGGAGGUUAGAGAGCGGUCAACGCGGUGUGCUUUUCGAGAUGAGAUAGCAGGUGCUACCUUUUGCAGCGCGUCGUGGGCAUCUGGAGUUAAGAUGAGCUGGGAAGUCAGGUCAUGGCUCCCCUUCAGUAGGCUGAACAAAGGGCACAGCUCUUCUCUCGUGAGUCCAAGCAGUGGUCGGAUCCAGGUGAUGGAGCCACACAACUGUUGUAUGUCCCUUAGCAUUUGAGCCUUAUCUUUGAUGGAGAUAUUUUGGGGAAUAAUGGCUCACCCGCUGAUAAGGAAUCCAAGGUACUUCCACAGGGAGGUCUACUGGGUUUUUCAGGAGCAAUAUCAAAACCUGCAUCUUCAACUGCUGUCAUAGUCUUUCUGAUCACUGGGUUAAGGUAAGUCUUUUCUUGGGAGCAAAUUAAAAUGUCGUCCAUAUAAUGCCGAAAUAUAGCUUCAGGGAAGGUUUUCCUGAUUGGAGAUAGAAUCCCAGCCACAAACAUUUGACAUAAAACAGGGGAAGUUUUCAUUCCCUGUGCCAAUGUGACCUAAUGAUAUCUUUUAAAGGGUUCUUGACAGUUGAUUGGUAUCGAAAAUGCGAAUUUGGGAGUGCGGGACAGAGAGGGAUGUUGAAUAAACAGUCUUUGAUAUCAAGGAUUGUGAGCUGCCAGUCCCUGGGAAGUACAGAAGGUGAGGGGAGCCCUGGUUGCAAGGAGCCCAUGUCUUCUAAAACAUCAUUUACUUUCCAAAAGUCUUGUAAUAACCUCCAUUUGUCUUUGCCAGGUUUUUUAUAAAAAGACAUGGGUCAGGAGCUAGUUGAUGGUACAAUGUGUCCUUUUAAUAAUUGUUCCUGUACUGGGGCAUGGAGCACUUCUAAUUUGUCAUUUGGAAGGCCCAAUGAUCCACCCACACAGGAUCAUACCCACAGGGAGGGAUCAUACCUUUUCCCACAGAUGGACAACAGCCAUAUUGAGUGGUUUAGUUUUCAUUUCUUUUUAAUUCCCAAAGUUUCAUUUUUUUCAACAUUGUAAUACAGCAUCUCUAUUCAAAUCAUUAUACUCACCUUGGUUAAUUAAAUAUUUAUUAAUUUAUUUUGCCCCCAUAAUAUCAGACAAAAGCAUAGGACAAAAGCAUAGGAAGAACAACAAGCAAUUACAGAAAUACAGUAUCUUCCCUGAAAAUCCCUUGGAAACCAUGUUAAAACAAUGGGAAGAACAUCAACUUACUAAAGAUAAAGACCCACAGCUCAAGAUUGUGCAUUGCAUGUUAGAAUGGCCAAAGAAGAAAUUAAAACAAGGUCUUCGCUGGCUGAAGCAUGGGUCUACCAGGAUGUGGAUUUGCGAAGUACUUUACAAUUACGCCCAAAAUAAAUUAAAUGCAGACUGGAAUUGCAGUAUGUGGAGGUCUGGUUUAAAUAUUGGAACAGCGAAAAGGAAGUAGAAACAGAUAAACCAAAUUCUCUCUGUAAUGAUCAAUGAUAAAGACACAAGGAGGAAAACCAAUCAACCAAGGUGGGACUCAUUAAAUUUCCUCCCCCCUACUGCACCUCCCAACGAACCAGCUGCAACUGCAGCUGAGUCAUUGGAGGCUUCAAUGAGUCAUGUAACUGAGAGGGCUGAAGAAAUUGAAAGUAGCAGUGGGACAUCAGAAGAAACGUAUAUUCUAUCAUUCUCCUCCAGGCAAAUUACAAAUUCAGCCAUGCAGGAAGUUCCAUCCAAUCAAGAAGGUCCAGCCUUCUUCACUUGAAGGAGAACCCUGGUAGUACAAAAAUGUUCCUCCUGCUCCAGCAGUAAAGAUAAAACAAAGGUGGCAUCCCUCAGAGAGGUCCCAAUGGAGGGUGCACAAGGUGGAAUAGGAUAUGUAAAUGCACCCCUCACCUCUUCAGAAGUGAGGCAUUUUAAAAAGGAAAUGGAGAUAUUAUUCAGUGACCCAGUAGGUAUGUCAGAAAAAGUUUACCAGUUCUUAGGCCCUAGGAUUUACCCUAGGGGAAAAUGAAAUUCAAUAAUGCAAACCCUUUUCUCUCCAGAGAAGAGAAAAGUUAUUUAGACUGCAGGGAUCAAUAUAUUGGACAGAGAACAUAAUUUAGGAACAACUGGAGAGAAGAAAUUACCAUUAACAGAUCCAGAAUGGAACCCUAACUCAGAUGAGGGAAGAAAAAGUAUAGCAGAAUACAGAACCCGAAUUGUAAGGGGAAUAAAAGAGGCAGUCCCCAGAGUUAAUAACAUGAAGAAAGCCUUUGGUAGCAAACAAUAAAAACAUGAGAGCCCAACUGACUGUAUAACUCGCUUAAAUAAUAACAUCCAAUUAUAUUUAGAAAGAGAUUUAGGUAGUGAAGGAGGGAAGACAAUGUUCUAGGUCCACUUUGGGUUACAUUCUUGGCCUGACAUAAAACAGAAAUUAGAGAAAUUAGAUGGAUGGCCAGAAAGAAGUUUAGAUGAGUUAUUAGCUGAAGCACAGUAAGUUUAUGCCAGGUGAAAUGAAGAGAAAAUGAAGACUAAAGCUAAGAUGAUGGCUGCUGUCCAAAUUCCUAAACCAAUUAGGCAGGAUGGGGAGAAUAUUCAAUUGAAGAAACCUAUUUGCUUUUAUUGUAAGAAAGAAGACCAUAUGCAAUCCUGCUGUUUUAAGACAUUGAGGGACUUAAGAGAUUCUCCAAGUGGAGAAUCAACCCUCAGAGAACUGAGGGGGUCAGGGGCUCUUCUUCUUGGGGCACAAAAACCAUCUUCAAGAGCCCUUGAUAAAAUCAAGGAUAGGACCCCUAGAACAAUUAAUGGAAUUAUUAGUAGACACAGGAGCAGAGACAACUUGUUUAACUGAAAAACCAAAUGCAUGUGCCAUAAGCAAAGACACUUUCAAUAUUUGUGCUGCUAAAGGGGAAUCCUUCCCCAUUCCCAUCAUUAAGAAUGUCACUAUAAAGGGUAAUGGACUAACCAGAAAGGGAGAUUUGUUUUUCUACCUCCAACAGGUAACAACUUACUUGGCCAGGAUCUCCAGAUACCUUUGAAAGUUGGAGUAGUUCCACAAGAAGGAAGGAUGAAGGUCAUUUUGUUUACUUUAUCCACACAAGAUGAAAACUGAUUAAUCCUACAGUGUAAGCCCAACCAGAUUCUCCUUCUAGACACCUGUUUGCUUCCACCUGGGAAGAUCCAGACACUGGAAGGAAACAGCAGCUGACCAGGACCUGGUGACUGCAAGGGUACAUGGAGUCUCCCACACUCUUCGGUCAGGCCUUGGAGAGCCCCUUAAUUUCCUUUUCUCCACCCUCAGGAAUACAAGUAACACAAAACAACAUGAAUAGAACCAAGGCCAGUUCCAGGUAGGACUUUCCUGCAUUUAGGUCCCUUCCUGCAUCCAGGUACACUCCCAUGAAAACCAAGGGGUCUGAACCCAGUAGGAAAACCAGAGAGGUUGAAUGGUCUUGACCACCUAUCAAAGAGUACCACAGCACUUCAAUCUUCCCAUUGACCCCUGAGCGAGGGAAGGGAAGGUGCGCCCUACUCCUCAUACUCUCCCUCUGGAUCCUGUAGAUCCCCCUUGUCAGAGCCUGCGUCUGCUGCCACCAAUGCUAACAUACAGUGUACCUGACCAAAGGAAACUCCUACCUCAUAAAACACUCAUUCCAGGCACAUUCUUAUGUAAAUCCCUUUUGUUAUAAUAUGAUGACACUGAGUAGAUACUGACAAUCGGACAAAAACCAAUGGAUUGGUAGAAAUAUUGGAAAUGCAAACCAGAAAAGGAAUGGAGAGUGUCCUGAUGAAGAGAUUUGGCUAUAUGUCAAAUUUAAUUAUAUAACGAAAAAGAAGGAUUUGUUAAAAAGGAAAACUUAUGAUGUUGAUUUGAUUCGAGAAAUUGUAAUAACUGAAAGGGGGAAACAAAAGGGGGACAAUCCAUUAGCUACCGAUAAAAACUUAUUUAUUGUUUUAGCAGAACAAAUUAGUAAAAAUCAAAAUAUAACCAAUUGUUGGGUUUGUGGAGGCACCUUCAAAUCAGAAGCCUGGCCUCAGCAAGGAGUCAGUAUUGGACCCCUCAAAUGACUUAAACUAAAUUAUUUCCCCUACCAAACUCCAAGAGAUCAAGACAAUUGGCUAUUGAGGGACACAGUUCUUGGAGAAGAAUGCAUCUGGAGAAAAGGAAAAAGAUACACUGAGGAAGUUGUAGAAACUACCUGUAAAAGAUAUUUACUAACUGAGGAUCACGUGGAUGUAUCAGUGGUGGAUACUGAACGAACCAGAUACCUUUUGGUCAAAGAAGAAAAUCAGAAACAAGAACUGCAUAUUACAUCCCAAUGAACAACUUUAUCAGUGCUGGGACCCUAAAAGUCAGCCUUUAUUCAGUAUUACCCCAAGUUUCUAAGUAUUGGACCUCCACUUUUAUCACGCUUUCACAUUUUUGGGAGGCCCCCCAAGGUUUAUACUGGAAUUGUGGGCAAAGAGCAUAUUCUAAACUCCCUUCUUACUGGUGUGGCAAUUGUACCUUAGGAGCAAUACGACCUAGCCCCUUUCUACUAUCAGAAGCAGCUGGAAACCAGCUCGGAGUUCCCCUAGAUGAUAAAUUAAAGAGACAAAAAAGAUGUGAAAUAGGGGGAAUGUAACAAUGGGGUAAGGAAGAGUGGCCACCAGAGAGAAUUUUAGAAACUUACGGACCUGCCACUUGGGCUCAGGAGGGGAGCUGGGGCUAUCAAACUCCCAUUUACAUGCUAAAUCACAUUACUGGACUACAAGCCCUGAUUCACGUCAUAUCUAAUCAGGCCAAGAGUGCAAUUGAUUUUUUCAACGCCCAACAGAAGCAAAUGAAAACAGCUGUAUAUCAAAACUCUUUAGCCCUAGAUUAUUUAUUAGCCAAAGAAGGUGGAAUAUGUGGCAAUUUCAACACAUCAGACUAUUGUCUGCAUAUUGAUGACCAUGGUGAAACUAUUACUAAAAUUACCCAAAACAUCAGAAAGCUUACACAUGUUCCAGUCCAGUUUUCACCUGAUUAGUGGAAAAAUAUGUUCUCUAGGGAGUGGUAGAAGAAAGCCUUAAUUAUUUUUCGAGUUUCCUUAGUUAGCCUUCUCUUUCUCCCGUGCUUAAUCCCAUGUUUCAUUCAUCUAAUUACCUCAGUAGUACAAAGCAUGUUCGCUAGUCAAAAUCUUCAAACGAGCCAACAUUCUAUGCCUACUGUCAAGAAAAUCAUAAAUCUCAAUCCAAUCAAAAGAGAUAGGAAAACGGGUAAAAAGGCCCAGCAAGUUUAGAUUAAUUUUAAACAAUUAAACACUAUCAACAAAGAACUUUUACAUUUAUGUAAAUGCAAAAGCCAAUGACUAACAUAAGAGAAAGAGGGAGGAACUGUCAUUUAUAAAAUCCCUUACAUGGCUUUUGCAUUUGUGACUGGUUUAUAUUUGUAACUGUUAAUUAGCUUUUGCAUUUAUAACUGUUUAAAGUUACUAGUUUGAUCAAAUAAAAGUGUUCAAAUUAAUGAAGUAAAUAAUAUAAAAUCAUUAUCAAGUUAUACUAGCUAUUCAGUAGAUCCCAACUGAAUGUUUAACAGUCCUGUUAAAAUAGGUAGCAAAAUAAGAACUAUAUUAUUUUUAUAAUCCUUUGUUCUUAACCUAAUUACAUUAUUUGUAAAUUUAAUUAUCUCUUUUUAGUAGCCUUAUACUUUCAAAGUUCCCAGUGCAGUUUCCUCUCACCAACAGCAUGCAGCAUUUUACAGACAAUUUCUAGCCCACUCCAGGUUGAACUGGUAACUUGAUGCCACAGCAAUGGUGCAUACUAAUGAGAGAGAGCUUCCCAUCAAAAACCUCAGAGAUAUCAUCCCACCCCAGUGACAGCACACUCUGGGAAAGAAGAUCUUACCCCAUCAUCUACUAGCACCAAUCACCUGAGACUAUGGGGGCAGGACUGCAAGUACAGACUGAGGGGACCGAGAACAUCAAAGGGGCAGCCUGGCCUGAAGAGCUGUCUUUGCUGUCUUUUACUGUUCCUGGGACUGUGACUUAGCUACAGCAGGGGACCCCACACUGCAGAUUUCAGUCAAUAUCUCUUUUUAGAGACCUUAUUCCAGAUUUGAGGGCAGACUAAGUGCAUUCACUGCAAUGCCCUCGGGUUCUUGCCUUGGGGCCAGACGCCAGUUCAGCUAGAGAUUUCCUCAAUCCUUGGGCCU